UUCGGAUCGUAAAACUCUGUUGUUAGAGAAGAACAAGGGUGAGAGUAACUGUUCNUCCCNNGACGGUAUCUAACCAGAAAGCCACGGCUAACUACGUGCCAGCAGCCGCGGUAAUACGUAGGUGGCAAGCGUUGUCCGGAUUUAUUGGGCGUAAAGCGAGCGCAGGCGGUUUCUUAAGUCUGAUGUGAAAGCCCCCGGCUCAACCGGGGAGGGUCAUUGGAAACUGGGAGACUUGAGUGCAGAAGAGGAGAGUGGAACUCCAUGUGUAGCGGUGAAAUGCGUAGAUAUAUGGAGGAACACCAGUGGCGAAGGCGGCUCUCUGGUCUGUAACUGACGCUGAGGCUCGAAAGCGUGGGGAGCAAACAGGAUUAGAUACCCUGGUAGUCCACGCCGUAAACUAUGAGUGCUAAGUGUUGGAGGGUUUCCGCCCUUCAGUGCUGCAACUAACGCAUUAAGCACUCCGCCUGGGGAGUACGACCG
rnacentral:rRNA from 1 species